CCUGCUGAAUUUAAGCAUAUUGGUCAGGGGAGGAAAAGAAACUAACCAGGAUUCCCUCAGUAAGGGCCAGUGAACAGGGA
rnacentral:ncRNA from 1 species